rnacentral:misc_RNA from 1 species
GAUGAAGAACGUAGCGAAAUGCGAUAAGUAAUGUGAAUUGCAGAAUUCAGUGAAUCAUCGAAUCUUUGAACGCACAUUGCGCCCGGUAGUAUUCUGCCGGGCAUGCCUGUUCGAGCGUCAUUUCAACCAUCAAGCCCCAGCGCUUGUGUUGGGGGCCUGCGGCUGCCGCAGCCCCCUAAAAGCAGUGGCGGGCUCGCUGUCACACCGAGUGCAGUAGUUCAUCUUCUCUCCGGUCUUGUGAGGCGGGUUCCGGCCGUGAAACACCCCACUACAUUCAAGGUUGACCUCGGAUCAGGUAGGAAUACCCGCUGAACUUAAGCAUAUCAAUAAGCGGAGGA